AUCGACAUUUCGAACGCACAUUGCGGUCCUCGGAUACUGUUCCUGGACCACUCCUGGCUGAGGGUCGCAUCCAUCAGACUGCCGGCGCAUUUUGUGUGCGUCGCGCGCAAUUGAGAGCUCGCACACGGGUUCCCGCUAACGGGUCCCUAUCGGCGUCUCUUUAAAUCAAAGAAACUGGUCGUUUCCGAGAGCCUUCGGGCUUCAGGUACGGCUGUACGAGCGUCGGCGCUUUGCGCCCGUACGGUUCCGCGUUUAGCGCGAGAUCGCCCGGCUGACGUGUCCUAGACUAUACGACUAGAAGACGUCUGGCUGCGANGACGGUCUGCGUGCGGAGCACUCAACGUACGGACGCAUACUNGAAGGUGCCAC
rnacentral:misc_RNA from 1 species